AACAGGAUUAGAUACCCUGGUAGUCCACGCCGUAAACGAUGUCGACUUGGAGGUUGUGCCCUUGAGGCGUGGCUUCCGGAGCUAACGCGUUAAGUCGACCGCCUGGGGAGUACGGCCGCAAGGUUAAAACUCAAAUGAAUUGACGGGGGCCCGCACAAGCGGUGGAGCAUGUGGUUUAAUUCGAUGCAACGCGAAGAACCUUACCUGGUCUUGACAUCCACGGAAGUUUUCAGAGAUGAGAAUGUGCCUUCGGGAACCGUGAGACAGGUGCUGCAUGGCUGUCGUCAGCUCGUGUUGUGAAAUGUUGGGUUAAGUCCCGCAACGAGCGCAACCCUUAUCCUUUGUUGCCAGCGGUCCGGCCGGGAACUCAAAGGAGACUGCCAGUGAUAAACUGGAGGAAGGUGGGGAUGACGUAA
rnacentral:rRNA from 1 species